GCUGGCGGCGUGCCCAAUACAUGCAAGUCGAGCGAACAGAUAAGGAGCUUGCUCCUUUGACGUUAGCGGCGGACGGGUGAGUAACACGUGGGUAACCUACCUAUAAGACUGGAAUAACUCCGGGAAACCGGGGCUAAUGCCGGAUAACAUUUAGAACCGCAUGGUUCUAAAGUGAAAGAUGGUUUUGCUAUCACUUAUAGAUGGACCCGCGCCGUAUUAGCUAGUUGGUAAGGUAAUGGCUUACCAAGGCAACGAUACGUAGCCGACCUGAGAGGGUGAUCGGCCACACUGGAACUGAGACACGGUCCAGACUCCUACGGGAGGCAGCAGUAGGGAAUCUUCCGCAAUGGGCGAAAGCCUGACGGAGCAACGCCGCGUGAGUGAUGAAGGGUUUCGGCUCGUAAAACUCUGUUAUUAGGGAAGAACAAACGUGUAAGUAACUGUGCACGUCUUGACGGUACCUAAUCAGAAAGCCACGGCUAACUACGUGCCAGCAGCCGCGGUAAUACGUAGGUGGCAAGCGUUAUCCGGAAUUAUUGGGCGUAAAGCGCGCGUAGGCGGUUUCUUAAGUCUGAUGUGAAAGCCCACGGCUCAACCGUGGAGGGUCAUUGGAAACUGGGAGACUUGAGUGCAGAAGAGGAAAGUGGAAUUCCAUGUGUAGCGGUGAAAUGCGCAGAGAUAUGGAGGAACACCAGUGGCGAAGGCGACUUUCUGGUCUGUAACUGACGCUGAUGUGCGAAAGCGUGGGGAUCAAACAGGAUUAGAUACCCUGGUAGUCC
rnacentral:rRNA from 1 species